rnacentral:rRNA from 1 species
UCAAUGCUGGAACGCUUGGAUAUCGAAAGCGCAAGCGCCAGAGGGUGAGUCUGCGGCCUAUCAGGUAGUAGGUGGUGUAACGGACCACCUAGCCUAAGACGGGUACGGGCCUUGAGAGAGGGAGCCCGGAGAUGGGUUCUGAGACACGAACCCAGGCCCUACGGGGCGCAGCAGGCGCGAAACCUUCGCACUGCGCGAAAGCGCGACGAGGGGAGCCCGAGCGCCUCUCCAUUUCGGGGAGGCUUUUCACAAGCCUAAAAAGCUUGUGGAAUAAGGGCUGGGCAAGACGGGUGCCAGCCGCCGCGGUAAUACCCGCAGCUCGAGUGGUGGUCGCUUUUAUUGAGCCUAAAACGUUCGUAGUCGGCCUUGUAAAUCCAUAGGUAAAUCGGACCGCUUAACGGUUCGAAUUCCGGGGAGACUGCAAGGCUAGGGACCGGGCGAGGUCAGAGGUACUUUCGGGGUAGGAGUGAAAUCCUGUAAUCCCGAAGGGACCACCUGUGGCGAAAGCGUCUGACUUGAACGGCUCCGACGAUGAGGAACGAAGGCUAGGGGAGCAAACCGGAUUAGAUACCCGGGUAGUCCUAGCUGUAAACUCUGAGCGCUUGGUGUGGCUUGUACUUCGGGUGCAGGCUGUGCCGGAGCGAAGGUGUUAAGCGGGCUGCUUGGGGAAAGGGGCCGCAAGGUUGAAACUUAAAGGAAUUGGCGGGGGAACAGCGCAACGGGAGGAUGCGUGCGGU